UACGAAGGGGGCUAGCGUUGUUCGGAAUUACUGGGCGUAAAGCGCACGUAGGCGGAUCGAUCAGUCAGGGGUGAAAUCCCAGGGCUCAACCCUGGAACUGCCUUUGAUACUGUCGAUCUGGAGUAUGGAAGAGGUGAGUGGAAUUCCGAGUGUAGAGGUGAAAUUCGUAGAUAUUCGGAGGAACACCAGUGGCGAAGGCGGCUCACUGGUCCAUUACUGACGCUGAGACGCGAAAGCGUGGGGAGCAAACAGG
rnacentral:rRNA from 1 species